GUGAGAAUGUUGGCAUGAGUAGCGAGAUGUGGGUGAGAAUCCCACAGGCCGUAAACCCAAGGUUUCCAGGGGAAGGUUCGUCCGCCCUGGGUUAGUCGGGACCUAAGCUGAGGCCGAAAGGCGUAGGUGAUGGACAACAGGUUGAUAUUCCUGUACUACCGAUAACCGUUUGAGAGAUGGGAUGACACAGUAGGAUAAGCUAAGCACACUGUUGGUUAUGUGUGCCCAAGCAUUGAGGCAGUCAAAGUAGGCAAAUCCGCUUUGAUAAUGCUGGGAUGUGAUGGGGAGCGAAAUUUAGUAGCGAAGUAGCUGAUUUCACACUGUCAAGAAAAGUCUCUAUCGAGGUUAAAGGUACCCGUACCGCAAACCGACACAGGUGGGUGAGGAGAGUAUCCUAAGGCCAGCGAGAGAACUGUUGUUAAGGAACUCGGCAAAAUGACCCCGUAACUUAGGGAUAAGGGGUGCCACCAUCAGGUGGCCGCAGAGAAUAGGCCCAAGCGACUGUUUACCAAAAACAUAGGUUUCUGCUAAGUCGCAAGACGAUGUAUAGGAGCUGACGCCUGCCCGGUGCUGGAAGGUUAAGGGGAUCUGUUAGAG
rnacentral:rRNA from 1 species